GGGCCUGUUGCACAAAAGUAGAAUUAAGACAUCCGGGAUAAAUGACUCAGCUGAGCUCAAUGAAGCCAAAACAUGUGCGUCCAGGCUUAAUUGGUUGCACAAAGACCAAGCCAGGAUGAGCAGACACGGAUUCAUUAAGCCAGGUGAAACCAAUCCUGGAUAGGUGCGCGCUCACGGCUCACUCAAAUAGACCCCGCCACAGAUCACAGAUUAACUGAUUUACCAUGGCAACUAGAGCCGCGUACUUUUCCCCGUCGGAAGCACAAAUCCUCAUGGAGGCAUACGAGGAGGUAAAAGAUAUAAUUAAGAAGAAAGGCAACACCGCCACAGUGAUAAAGCAAAGAGAAAAAGCGUGGCAAAGUAUUGCAGACCGCCUGAAUGCAUUAAACAUGAACGGGCCAAAAUGGACAUGGCAGCAGGUCAAAAUCAAAUACAAGAACAUUCUGCAGAAUGCAGUGAAAAAGAAUACCCACAGACAAGGCACGGGUGGUGGGUCACCAAAACUGACCUUACCCCAGCAGAGGACAUGGCCUUGGAGCUAAAUAAAGGCAGGCCCGUCUUAGAGGGGAUCCCUGGGGAAAGAGACGAGCAUAGGUUCCUCCCAAGA